AAGUCGUAACAAGGUUUCCGUAGGUGAACCUGCGGAAGGAUCAUUAAAGAAUUCGGCUUCGCGGCCAAGUUCUCACCCUUUGUAUACCAGAAACCAUUGUUGCCUUUGGCAGGCCCCUGCAUUUCUCGGGCCUGCCAGAGGCACUAUAAACCCUAGAAUCUCUGCUGUCUGAGUACUAUAACAAUAGUUAAA
rnacentral:misc_RNA from 1 species